GCAGCGGUCGCUUAGCUUGGUAGAGCGCUGGCUUGGAGUUGGAUAUUACAACCAAACAGCCAGUGGGUGUAUGCCUGCGGGGGUUCGAAUCCCUCCCGUUGCG
rnacentral:tRNA from 1 species